AACGCGAAGAACCUUACCAGCCCUUGACAUGUCCCGUACGGGGCCGAGAGAUCGGCCUCAUCAGUUCGGCUGGCGGGAACACAGGUGCUGCAUGGCUGUCGUCAGCUCGUGUCGUGAGAUGUUGGGUUAAGUCCCGCAACGAGCGCAACCCUCACCUUCAGUUGCCAUCGGGUUAAGCCGGGCACUCUGAAGGAACUGCCGGUGACAAGCCGGAGGAAGGCGGGGAUGACGUCAAGUCCUCAUGGCCUUUAUGGGCUGGGCUACACACGUGCUACAAUGGCGGUGACAGAGGGAGGCUAAGGGGCGACCCUGCGCCAAUCUCGAAAAGCCGUCUCAGUUCGGAUUGUUCUCUGCAACUCGAGAGCAUGAAGCUGGAAUCGCUAGUAAUCGCGGAUCAGCACGCCGCGGUGAAUACGUUCCCGGGCCUUGUACACACCGCUACAGU
rnacentral:rRNA from 1 species